rnacentral:rRNA from 1 species
UCUUUCUUUGCUGGCGACCGGCGCACGGGUGAGUAACACGUAUCCACCUGCCCUUUACUCGGGGAUAGCCUUUCGAAAGAAAGAUUAAUACCCGAUAGUAUAAUGAUUCCGCAUGGUUUCAUUAUUAAAGGAUUCCGGUAAAGGAUGGGGAUGCGUUCCAUUAGGUUGUUGGUGAGGUAACGGCUCACCAAGCCUUCGAUGGAUAGGGGUUCUGAGAGGAAGGUCCCCCACAUUGGAACUGAGACACGGUCCAA